AAUAUGUGACAAUGGGGGCAACCUUGAUCCAGUAAUGCCCCGUGUGUGAAGAAAGUCUUCGGAUUGUAAAGCACUUUAAUUUGGGAGAAAGGGUUUUUGGUUAAUACCCUGAAGUUUUGGCGUUACCACCAGAUUAAGCACCGGCUAACACUGUGCCAGCAGCCGCGGUAAUACAGAGGGUGCAAGCGUUAAUCGUAAUUACUGGGCGUAAAGCGGGCGUAGGUGGGUCAGUAAGAUGGGUGUGAAAUCACCGGGCUUAACCUGGGAACUGCUUUCAUAACUGCUGAACUAGAGUACGGUAGAGGGUAGUGGAAUUUCCUGUGUAGCGGUGAAAUGCGUAGAUAAAGGAAGGAAAACCAGUGGCGAAGGCGACUACCUGGACUGAUACUGACACUGAGGUGCGAAAGCGGGGGGAGCAAAC
rnacentral:rRNA from 1 species